rnacentral:rRNA from 1 species
UGGGGAAUCUUGCGCAAUGCGCGAAAGCGUGACGCAGCAACGCCGCGUGGGGGAAGACGGCCUUCGGGUUGUAAACCCCUUUCAGGAGGGACGAAGGUCACACGGUUAAUAGCCGGCGUGACUGACGGUACCUCCAGAAGAAGCCCCGGCUAACUACGUGCCAGCAGCCGCGGUAAUACGUAGGGGGCAAGCGUUGUCCGGAAUUAUUGGGCGUAAAGAGCGCGUAGGCGGUCCGAUAAGUCGGCUGUGAAAGUCAGGGGCUCAACCCUUGGAAGCCGGCCGAUACUGUCGGACUAGAGUCCGGAAGAGGCAAGUGGAAUUCCCGGUGUAGCGGUGAAAUGCGCAGAUAUCGGGAGGAACACCAAUGGCGAAGGCAGCUUGCUGGGACGGUACUGACGCUGAGGCGCGAAAGCGUGGGGAGCAAACAG